AUGGGGCCCACACUCCUCUGCCUGGCGGCCCUGUGUGUCCUGGGAGCAGGCUCUAUGGACACUGAGGUCACCCAGUCUCCAGGACAGCUGGUCAGAGGGACAAAGCAGAAAGCAAGGAUAGAGUGUAGCCCUAUCAAAGGACACAUUCAUGUUUACUGGUAUCGCCAGAAGCUGGGAGAAGAGCUCAAGUUCAUGAUUUAUUUUCAGAACCAAGAUAUCAUUGAUAAAUCAGGAAUGCCCAGUGAGCGGUUUUCAGCUCAGUGUCCCAAGAACUCACCGUGUAGCAUGGAGAUCGAACCCACAGAGCUGGAGGACUCAGCCGUGUACUCCUGCGCCAGCAGUCAGUCCACAGCGCUGCAGGGUCAGCUGUUCCUGGGACACAAACUCUUCCGAGCCCAGCUCAGGAAACAGGUGGGACAUGAGGUUGGUGUGAAGUAA